rnacentral:lncRNA from 1 species
CGAGAUGGGACAGGUGGAUGCUCUUCAAGCUCAUAAUCACUGUCAUCAUCCUGCAGCUCCAUUGGUUUGUUACCCGAAGACUUAGCUUUGCUUCUUGCCUGAGAAGGACCAACACCAGACGCUCUCUCAUAUGCAGCUUUCUUCUUCUCUAUAUAGACCUUGGACAUAGACUGAGUAGAUGCACGCUCUGUUGGUUUAC